rnacentral:rRNA from 1 species
UUUUAUUUGAGAGUUUGAUCCUGGCUCAGGAUGAACGCUGGCGGCGUGCCUAACACAUGCAAGUUGAGCGAUUUACUUCGGUAAAGAGCGGCGGACGGGUGAGUAACGCGUGGGUAACCUACCCUGUACACACGGAUAACAUACCGAAAGGUAUGCUAAUACGGGAUAAUAUAUUUGAGAGGCAUCUCUUAAAUAUCAAAGGUGAGCCAGUACAGGAUGGACCCGCGUCUGAUUAGCUAGUUGGUAAGGUAACGGCUUACCAAGGCGACGAUCAGUAGCCGACCUGAGAGGGUGAUCGGCCA